rnacentral:rRNA from 1 species
UCUUGGUCAUUUAGAGGAAGUAAAAGUCGUAACAAGGUUUCCGUAGGUGAACCUGCGGAAGGAUCAUUAAAGAGACGUUGCCCUUCGGGGUAUACCUCCCACCCUUUGUUUAUUAUACCUUUGUUGCUUUGGCGGGCCCGUCCUCGGACCACCGGCUUCGGCUGGUCAGUGCCCGCCAGAGGACCUAAAACUCUGUUUGUUCAUAUUGUCUGAGUACUAUAUAAUAGUUAAAACUUUCAACAACGGAUCUCUUGGUUCUGGCAUCGAUGAAGAACGCAGCGAAAUGCGAUAAGUAAUGUGAAUUGCAGAAUUCAGUGAAUCAUCGAAUCUUUGAACGCACAUUGCGCCCCCUGGUAUUCCGGGGGGCAUGCCUGUUCGAGCGUCAUUACAACCCUCAAGCUCUGCUUGGUAUUGGGCUCUGCCGGUCCCGGCAGGCCUUAAAAUCAGUGGCGGUGCCAUUCGGCUUCAAGCGUAGUAAUUCUUCUCGCUUUGGAGACCCGGGUGCGUGCUUGCCAGCAACCCCCAAUUUUUUCAGGUUGACCUCGGAUCAGGUAGGGAUACCCGCUGAACUUAAGCAUAUCAAUAAGCGGAGGAAAAGAAACCAACAGGGAUUGCCCCAGUAACGGC